GACGGAGGAUGCAAGCGAUAUCCGGAAUGAUUGGGCGUAAAGCGUUCGCAGGUGGCUGUUCAAGUCUGCUGUCAAAGACCGGGGCUUAACCCCAGAAAGGCAGUGGAAACUGGACGGCUGGAGUGCAGUAUGGGUAGAGGGAAUUCCCAGUGUAGCGGUGAAAUGCGUAGAGAUUGGGAAGAACACCGGUGGCGAAAGCGCUCUGCUGGACUGCAACUGACACUGAGGGACGAAAGCUAGGGGAGCGAAAGGG
rnacentral:rRNA from 1 species